rnacentral:rRNA from 1 species
GACGAACGCUGGCGGCGUGCCUAACACAUGCAAGUCGAACGGAGUGAUGAUUUCGGUUAUCACUUAGUGGCGAACGGGUGAGUAACGCGUGAGAAACCUGCCUUUCAGUGGGGGACAACAGUUGGAAACGACUGCUAAUACCGCAUAACGCUUGAGGGUGGCAUCACCUUUAAGCCAAAGGAGCAAUCCGCUGUAAGAUGGCCUCGCGUCUGAUUAGCUAGUUGGUGGGGUAACGGCCCACCAAGGCGACGAUCAGUAGCCGGACUGAGAGGUUGGCCGGCCACAUUGGGACUGAGACGCGGCCCAG